CCAGUGGAUAUAUUUGUUCGACGACUUCUAACGGCAUUUGCAAGUCGAUUGAUGAUACGAAUACAGUCGGCGAUUGCACCGAAAGUACUACUGUCGGUACUACUUCCACGAGUAGAUACUUCUUCGACCCAGUUGCGUAUUGUCAAACCAUACUAAUAAAUGGUCGUUUUCCAGUAGGCAAUAAUCUUACAACAACAUGUUAAGCGUAUGUUUAUUGUUUCAUAAAUGGCAACGUCUGGAGUGGAGCGCUCUACUUCUGCCCAGGUGCUACUUACUUUGACAGUUCUACCCGCUAUUGUACACCAAAUGUACCGGCUCGUUGCGUCAGUUCUACACUCUGAAGAUUUUCGCACUAAGUUUCGAUGACUAAACUUAUGAAACAUUCUCCUAAUAUUGGGUUGGUUGUAUUUGCACUUACCUGUAGUCUGUUCUCUUGAGAGAACGGUUUCUCAGCCACAAUGUGAAAUAAAAUUGAAAUCAGUGUAGUUUAAAAUUUUAACUUUAUUGAUAUAAAUUUAUUAAAUUAUUAAUAUAAAAUUAAUUCAAAUGGUUUAUAAAUUGUACAAGCUUUAUUUUUCUUGCCAAAAUAUGUAUGUGUUCGGACCACAGGAACACUUAACAUCUCCCUUAUUGCGACAGUGUUUACACCUGAAAGAAAAAUACAAAUUAACUUUUAAUUCUAUUUAAUUAUAACAGAGCUUACCUCUUGCAAUUGAAGUUGUAUGAUCUCAAGUGAAUGGACUUGCAGUUGUUGGGUCAGUAGAAGGAUCGACCACAUCACAGGUAACAGUAUGCGAACCGACAGCACUAAUAGAAAUCGCAUAUCUUCUUGCAUUCCAUACAAAUCUACUGGGAAAAUGACGCACUCAACCGGUGGGAUCUCAGACGCCAAGGCUGUUUGGUAUAUGGAGUUACUCCAGCAAGCGAGCUGUACAUUGUCGAUAAAGUGAGGUGGAAUCACAACUGGGCGCAUGUGUUGCACUCUCUUGCAGACAGAUGUCGUUGAAUUCGGUACAUUCGAAGUCCUCCCUCAAUGAUAAAGAAUGUCCAUGCUGGGGUUGCGAUCUGUCGACAUUACACACAG